AUCCAUUCUCUCUCUCUCUCCCUCUUUCGCUCAUGCAGCAGUCAAG
rnacentral:misc_RNA from 1 species